rnacentral:lncRNA from 1 species
GUUAGGGCUCCGCUAAAAAAUAUCCUGUGUGACCUUGUGCCAUACCCUUGUCUUUGGAUAUCAGAUACUCUGACAGAUGAUGCUUCCCAUCUUCUGAUUUUGGUUGGACCAAAAAUCUUGUUUUUGUUUUUUUUUUAGACCAACUCUUGCUCUGUCAUCCAGACUAGAGUGCAGUGGCGUAACCUUGGCUCACUGCAACCUCUGCCUCCUGGAUUCACGUGAUUCUCCUGCCUCAGCCUCCCGAGUAGCUGGAAUUACAGGCAUGGAUGGCCACACCUGGAUAAUUUUUGUAUUUUUAGUAGAGAUGGGGUUUCACCAUGUUGGCCAGGCUUGUCUCGAACUCCUGAGCUCAGAUAAUCUGCCCGCCUCUGCCUCCCAAAGUGCUGGGAUUACCAGCGUGAGCCACCGCACCCGGCUCUGGACCAACAAUCUUUAAUGCCCCUUUCAGUUGUGUCUAAGACAGAUGAACAUGCAAUUUCGCUGAAGAUCUCAAAAGGUGAUGAUGAUUCAUUAACAAGAUGGCUUGAAUUGUUUCAUCCAUCAGCCCUUCUCACUUCUUAGUUUUGGUUCAAUCUGCUUCUUCUGUCUAGAACGACUCUUUCAGCUUUAUCCAUCCUUCAAAUUUCAAUGCAAGCACCAAUCUCUUCAAGAACCAUUCCAGACACCUUCUCCCUGCACUGUUGUGAGUAAUCUCAUCUUCCCCUGGAAUGAUGCUUGAUAUCCUAGUGGAUAUGAACUGUGUCUCAGCCAUCUCUACUGCUUUCAUUAUGGCAUAGUCUUCUGAACAUGAUACAAACUCAUCCCAUGUUUUUGAAAUGGAUAUAUUUAAGACAAAAAUGUUAAUAGCACCUCCAGGAUGCUGGUUUCCAGGAUGAAUAACUGCCAAUGCAAAAAUUAGCAAAGUCAAGUAUAAAUUGCCUACAAGAAAAAAACUGAGAAAUAAAGGUUAUAGCAUGCAGAAUAAACUGGAAUGCAA